rnacentral:rRNA from 1 species
UACGUAGGGGGCAAGCGUUGUCCGGAAUCACUGGGCGUAAAGCGCGCGCAGGCGGCGAUCUACGUCCGGGGUGAAAGCCCAGAGCUCAACUCUGGGACUGCCUUGGAUACGGGAUCGCUUGAGGAUCGGAGAGGCAAGGGGAAUUCCACGUGUAGCGGUGAAAUGCGUAGAGAUGUGGAGGAACACCUGUGGCGAAGGCGCCUUGCUGGCCGAUUUCUGACGCUGAGGCGCGAAAGCGUGGGGAGCAAACGGG